GGUGCAAAUGAUGGUAACAGCGAUCAAAGUAUGAAAUGCCGUGAUUCCAGUUUUAUAUAUCACUGAUGCACC